CGUGGAGACAGGUGGUGCAUGGCUGUCGUCAGCUCGUGUCGUGAGAUGUUGGGUUAAGUCCCGCAACGAGCGCAACCCUUGUCCUUGGUUGCCAGCAUUAAGUUGGGCACUUUAAGGAGACUGCCGGUGUCAAACCGGAGGAAGGUGGGGAUGACGUCAAGUCCUCAUGGCCCUUAUGUCCAGGGCUACACACGUGCUACAAUGGUCGAUACAAAGGGUUGCGAAACCGCGAGGUGGAGCUAAUCUCAAAAAGUCGGCCUCAGUUCGGAUUGGAGUCUGCAUCUCGACUCCAUGAAGUCGGAAUCGCUAGUAAUCGUGGAUCAGCAUGCCACGGUGAAUACGUUCCCGGGCCUUGUACACACCGCCCGUCACACCACGAAAGUCUGCUGUACUCGAAGUCGCUGAG
rnacentral:rRNA from 1 species